rnacentral:rRNA from 1 species
GACGAGCCUCACAAACGUUAUUCGGAAUUACUGGGCUUAAAGGGUGCGUAGGCGGCGCGGAAAGUUGGGUGUGAAAUCCCUCGGCUCAACCGAGGAACUGCGCCCAAAACUACCGUGCUCGAGGAAGAUAGAGGUGAGCGGAACUCACGGUGGAGCGGUGAAAUGCGUUGAUAUCGUGAGGAACACCCGUGGCGAAAGCGGCUCACUGGGUCUUUUCUGACGCUGAUGCACGAAAGCUAGGGGAGCAAACAGG